rnacentral:rRNA from 1 species
AGAGUUUGAUUAUGGCUCAGGAUGAACGCUAGCUACAGGCUUAACACAUGCAAGUCGAGGGGCAGCAUGAUCAAAGCUUGCUUGAUUGAUGGCGACCGGCGCACGGGUGAGUAACGCGUAUCCAACCUUCCCUUAGUAGGGCAUAGCCGGCGAAAGUCGGAUUAAUACCCUAUGUUAUUCGUCGAGGACAUCUGAAGUGAAUCAAAGAUUUAUCGCUAAGGGAUGGGGAUGCGUCUGAUUAGGUUGUUGGCGGGUAACGGCCCACCAAGCCAUCGAUCAGUAGGGGUUCUGAGAGGAAGGUCCCCCACAUUGGUACUGAGACACGGACCAAACUCCUACGGGAGGCAGCAGUGAGGAAUAUUGGUCAAUGGGCGAGAGCCUGAACCAGCCAAGUAGCGUGCAGGAUGACUGCCCUAUGGGUUGUAAACUGCUUUUAUACGGGGAUAAAGUGAGGUAUGCAUACCUUUUUGUAGGUACCGUAUGAAUAAGGACCGGCUAAUUCCGUGCCAGCAGCCGC